AAGAACCUCACGUGUGCCUUGUGACUCCUCCCCCUGGGCUCCCCGUCUCUUUACAUCGGUGCUUCUCUUGGUUGACGUUGGACUUCUGCAGUCCAGAGCUGGGAGAAAGGUUUGACCAGGUGCAGUGAAUAUUUGUCCCCUGGGACCUGAACCUGCACACAGGAGCCUGGCAGUGCCCACGUUCUGAAGCAGGUGUGGUGUCCUGCGUCACUGGACUCCAUCUGGGCAGACGUGAGGAGGGGGUGGCAGGUUAUCAGGGGCCGAGUGAACAAGAGAGUCGCAGGACCAAGUUAGCAAAGCAGCCUUCAGGCUCUGAUGCUGAUCAGAUGAUCAGAAGGUUCAGGAUCAGUGAGAACCUUGGGUGGGUUGAAGGGAUUAUGAAGCAUCCACAGCAGUGUCUACAGAGAAGGGGUUUGCCCUGUCCCCAGGCAGGGAGAGGAGCUGCUACCCCUUGAACGGCAGAUGCUCUCAUGGGUCCACAGGGUGGUGUUGUGUCAGGAAGAAACUGACAACUCUCCCCGCUCCCCUGCCCUGGCCGCCUUGCUUAGGAGUCUCUGGGUUGAUAGGAAAGGCAAACCUGAAUUCUUUGCCUCUCGGCAUCCAGGGAACAGGUCGGUGCCACGUCUCCAUCAUCUGUGCCAUCUGUAGCCACAAAGCCAGCACACAGCCUCGCAGUGACGCCAAGCAGCCUGGCCAGUUGCCCUGGUGCAAAUCACACAGCUCUGGAGCCUGGAAGUCUGAGACGGGGGAGCCAGCGCCGUCGGGUUCCUGGUGAUGGUUCUUCGGUUAUGACCUUGAAGCGUUCCUCCUAUGUGGGGGCUGAUCCCAUCAUGGGGCCCCACCAUCAUGACCUCAUCUAAAGUGAGUUACCCCUGAAGACCCUGUUCCCAAAUACCUUCAACAAAUACACUGGGGGGGGCAUUCUGUCCAUAGUAGCUCAUUAGCCUCACAUCAUUCCCCCCCCCAAUUAAUUUUGGGUGUCCACAGGGGCUCUCAGACAUUGUUCU
rnacentral:lncRNA from 1 species